rnacentral:lncRNA from 1 species
GCAGGGUCUGAUCUCUGCACCCCGGGCCCCCGCGCAGACCCGCGGACGAGCGCUGGGUGGGGAUUUCAACCUGCUCCAGCUGAUGUGCGCGGGGUUUGCACCCCGGGGAGGCGAGGGAGAGAGUCCGGCCACGUCCUGCCAGGCCCCGCCCGCGCCCCCGCUGCCCUCCAGCGCGGAACCCAGGUCCCAGGAGACGCGAGGCGCCCAAGGCCCCGGGAUUCCGAGCCAGUCAACCCCGGGCCGCGACGCUCUGGGAACCACACCCGUCCAGGAAGGCACCUUGGCCAAAGCCGGCUCCUUCGCAGAUGACCCGGGCCAGGGUCCGAGCGCCAGGCUGUGACCCCGCGAGGCUGUUCCACGCUGGCCGCGAGAGACGGAGGGCAGGAGGGGCCCGAAUAGGACAGAGAGAGAGAGAGAGAGAGACAGAAGGAGGCGCACGCGCUCCCCAGGGACCGGGACGCGGUGGUGGGCGGGACCUCGCGGGGGUGGGGGGUGGUCGCAGGACCCAGAAGGCUCAGGACCUUUACGGAUAGGGAGGACCCCGCAGGGGGGAGCGGGGGAGCCCCACGCCCGGCGUCCUCCGGGUGCGAGGGUCUCGGGGAGUCCGAGCCCGGGCCCACGGCCUCUGUCCCGCGGCCACUACCUGCUGGGGGUCCCGGGCCUGGGCCACGCCGGGCUGCCCUCGGGGACUUGCUGCGGCCGUUGAGGGGUCUCCGCGCGCCGCGCAGACUCGCCUCCCAACCCGAGGGCCCGGGCGGCCGCCGCCCAGAGCGUCCAGCGGCAGCGUCUUGCUCUCGAAGGCGUCCUCCACGCAGCGGAACACGCAGCCAAGCUUGGGCCGGGCCAGAGGCCUCGCGGGCUCCUGAGGCUGCCGCGCGGUCACGGCAGGAGCGGGCGACAGAAUCCGGUCUCGGAGCCUCCUGUAGCGAGGUCUGCGCGGCAGGUGCACUGGGCGGACCUGGAGGCCGCGCCCUCCCCCCCCGCCUCCUGCCGCCCGGCAGCGCUGCGCGGAGCUGGCUCUGUCCACGUAGCGGGUGCUGAACGCCCCAUUCUGGCCCCUGGGUGCUCGCUUAGUCCCGGCCACGCGUGGCUGCUCGCCCUCGGGACACACUGGGCGCUGGGAAGGCCGGGCGGGGAGCGCGCACCGGAGAAACCGCUGUGGGAAUCCCGGCCACAUUUCCAGGCCCCUUGGGCCGUCCCACGCCAGACAAGAAAGCCCUGACUCCGAAACCCUGGGCGAGUGUGGAGGGCGCGCGGGGGUGGGGUGUACCCGCCCACGCAAACUGCUGCUGAUCUCCCUUAAAGCCGAGUUAGAGGCUUGGGGCGAGACAGGAGUGACGGGCGAUGCUGUCACUCCAUCUGUCAUUCUACCCAGCCUGCAGCAGCUGAAUUCGAACCCAGAGACUUCAGGCCUUUGCGUUGUUACCGCAGUCCGCAUUUCAAAGCCAGAGUUUGGCCACUGAGUCACCAUGACCUCGAGUACUGGCGGGGCCCGAGCCAGCAGAGCUAGCCACAGGAGGGAGCCUCCCAGGUGGUCGACCGGAGCCAGGUGCUGCCAGGCACCCGACUGCAGAGCUUGCCCUCCAGGUGAUCUCGCAGUAUCGGUGUUCACAAGCCCUGUAAGGCACUCGGGGUAUCCUGAAGGCUACAGAUUCUGCAAGGGCAGAGACUUUAAGGAACAGCCAUAGUCCUUCUCCAGCUCAAAAUCUGGACCAUGGGCACAAGGUACACAUUGGGACCAUGCCAGGAGCUCUCCCAGAGGAGGAGGCCAGGCUGGCAGGGAGCCAGGUAGAGUUACAACAUAUUUCUGGAUGCCUGCAUCGUAGAGUCCAUCGGACUUCAACCCAGCGGUUCACCCACAGCGCCACGGUAGCUUUUAUUAACACAAGGCUAUUGUGUGCCAUUCAGUUGUGAGUAUAAUAAAUGUGCCAAGAAGAUGCAGUCGUUAAAAUGAGACAAAACUAUGCACAGAGGACUAAACAGGAUUUCAGACUCGAGACGCAAACCCCGAGGUCAGGCUCAGCUAGAGACACUGAACUGGCCCAGUAUCUUGCCGAGUAAAUCAGGAACUGUGGCUUGAAUGACAACAGAAAUGGAUGGGUCUUUCUUGGACAAGUGCUGAUUAAUAGUGCAUUUUCCAGCAAAAAUCCUGCAGCCACCAAAGAAAAAGCAUAUCUGUCUGAUACUAUUAGCUUUUCCCUGAUUUCAACCUAGGGAGCCAUGCCUGGUCCGCAGCCACCGUGUCAUCUGCCCCAAAGUCAGACAUUUCUUCUGACACAAAUAUAAAAUGAGCCUAAUACUUCCAGACAACCCAGUCCUCCCUACGGCAGCUGAGUCGUGUCUUUUAUACAAUGCUGCCAGUAACAGUCACACCUGGCUGCACAGCUGGCUGCCUCAACUUCUAGGUGCCUCGAAAUGGCUAAAUCCCACGAAUGGCUCUUCUGGUUGCGUGAAAACAUGCAUAAACGCAUGCUUGUGCACACAAGUGAGCACACACACACACCUCCUGUCAAUUCAGCUCUGAGAGCAGAACCUUAGCCCACCUAGGGUGGGAGGACACAGAAGUUCCAUCUGCAGCCAGUCAGGCUCCAUCCACAGGCUGGACGAAGCUCCCGGGCUGCGUCCCGGGUCUCCCAGCAGGAAUGGAAAUCACACCUAACGUUGCCUUCACCAAUGCACUGCUUCCUCUCUGAAAAAGAGUGGAGAAAACGCCGUUUAGUGCGACGACCUGGGGAAUGUGUGUGACCCACCACAGGUCAGCACUCAAGGCAGUUGGGGCCUUGACCAGGCACUGGCUCUGCACAGGAUGGUCACUGAGCCAAUGGCAGGCACUGCCCUCAUGGGUCCAGCACCAGCUACAGCGCCACGUCCUGAGCCUCCAGCCCGGGAGACGCACCUGGCACCCACCGAAGGCCACACUCUCAGGAAGAUGAGUCCAUGCUCCUCACAAAGCCCCUACAGAAGUGACCUUGGAUCUUUCUCACCAUGUCUGGGCCAGCAGCCCGGUUUCUACCCAACUUCCCUCAUUGCUUAGAAAGUGGGCCUCUGCUAAGUUCAAAGUUUUUAUUACCUUUCCAUUUUUUCAUGUUUUUGAAGAAGUUAUGAAGGAUCUGCUUUUCACAAGGGCGGGCCCCGGAUCAGUCCCUGGGGCAUGGCAGCAUCGGGUGGGAGGCCACGUGGGCUGAGGGGCGGGAGCGAGGGCACGCUGGGACAGAGGCAGAGGGGCGGGAGUGAGGGCACGCUGGGACAGAGGCAGAGGGCCCGGCCGUAGAGACACCACGGUUUUCUAAUCUAGGAGAGGUCUGAAGAGCUUUUUGGUUUUUGAUUUAACCUAACUUCUAAGUAAGAAGAUAUUACCUCAAACAGAAUGAAAAAUAAAUGUAGUCAAAUGACACAUACAUGUUUACUUCUUCCCGUAUUAAGCGUUACAGUUGAAAUCUCUGCUGCAGUUAACAUAGUACCUUGUUCUUUGUGCCUUUAAUCGGGUUCGUUUCUAAAUAGGUUGUCCCGGAACCAUCGAUCUCUAGAAGGUACAGGAGGAAGGGGACCUGCCAGUCCAGCCCUCAUAUUUUACAGAGGGAAAAGGUGAAGCCCCAUGUAAAACAGGGAUUUCCCUCGGUGACACUUCCAGGCUGAGAAGGGCCGGGGAUCUGGACACCUACCCAGAAACACUCCCACCCUGUCAAUGCCUCUCUGAAUUAUGUGAUCAACUGCCUGGAGUAUGAACUAGGCACAUGCAAAUAGAGAACAGAGGUCUUGUUGAAAAUAUGAUGCUGAAUUUUAAAAACUCACUCCCCAAAUUAAAGGAACAAGACCAGAGCA